GGUAUUAUAGUCAAUUAAUGAUAUUAGACUGCAAAUCUAAAGUUGUUGUAAAAACUAAGACCU
rnacentral:tRNA from 1 species